rnacentral:lncRNA from 1 species
AAGUCUCACCCCAUUCCGAGUCCGGCGGACGAAAUUCGCCCGCGCCCCCCACCAAGGCUAUAGCCCACCCGUUUUUUGGCCAUUUUUCCGCUUGGGGGUUUUGGCACCACGACCGUCGGGCGCUUAUUUUUGGGCGCGGCUUUGCCCGCGGCUUUUUUUUGGCACCCCGAGGCCCCUCGCAAAGUCUCGCCCCAUUCCGAGUCCGGCGGACGAACUUCGCCCGCGCCCCCCACCAAGGCUAUAGCCCACCCAUUUUUUGGCCAUUUUUCCGCUGGGGGGUUUUGGCACCACGACCUUCGGGCGCUUAUUUUUGGGCGUGGCUUUGCCCGCGGCUUAUUUUUGGCACCCCGAGGCCCCUCGCAAAGUCUCGCCGCAUUCCGAGUCCGGCGGACGAACGUCGCCCGCGCCCCCCACCAAGGCUAUAGCCCACCCGUUUUUUGGCCAUUUUUCCGCUGGGGGGUUUUGGCACCACGACCUUCGGGCGCUUAUUUUUGGGCGCGGCUUUGCCCGCGGCUUAUUUUUGGCACCCCGAGGCCCCUCGCAAAGUCUCGCCCCAUUCCGAGUCCGGCGGACGAACUUCGCCCGCGCCCCCCACCAAGGAUAUAGCCCACCCGUUUUUUGGCCAUUUUUCCGCUGGGGGGUUUUGGCACCACGACCUUCGGGCGCUUAUUUCUGGGCGCGGCUUUGCCCGCGGCUUAUUUUUGGCACCCCGAGGCCCCUCGCAAAGUCUCGCCGCAUUCCGAGUCCGGCGGACGAACGUCGCCCGCGCCCCCCACCAAGGCUAUAGCCCACCCGUUUUUUGGCCAUUUUUCCGCUAGGGGGUUUUGGCACCACGACCUUCGGGCGCUUAUGUUUGGGCGCGGCUUUGCCCGCGGCUUAUUUUUGGCACCCCGAGGCCCCUCGCAAAGUCUCGCCCCAUUCCGAGUCCGGCGGACGAACUUCGCCCGCGCCCCCCACCAAGGCUAUAGCCCACCCGUUUUUUGGCCAUUUUUCCGCUGGGGGGUUUUGGCACCACGACCUUCGGGCGCUUAUUUUUGGGAGCGGCUUUGCCCGCGGCUUAUUCUUGGCACCCCGAGGCCCCUCGCAAAGUCUCGCCCCAUUCCGAGUCCGGCGGACGAACUUCGCCCGCGCCCCCCACCAAGGCUAUAGCCCACCCGUUUUUUGGCCAUUUUUACGCUGGGGGGUUUUGGCACCACGACCUUCGGGCGCUUAUUUCUGGGCGCGGCUUUGCCCGCGGCUUAUUUUUGGCACCCCGAGGCCCCUCGCAAAGUCUCGCCGCAUUCCGAGUCCGGCGGACGAACGUCGCCCGCGCCCCCCACCAAGGCUAUAGCCCACCCGUUUUUUGGCCAUUUUUCCGCUAGGGGGUUUUGGCACCACGACCUUCGGGCUCUUAUGUUUUGGCGCGGCUUUGCACGCGGCUUAUUUUUGGCACCCCGAGGCCCCUCGCAAAGUCUCGCCCCAUUCCGAGUCCGGCGGACGAACUUCGCCCGCGCCCCCCACCAAGGCUAUAGCCCACCCGUUUUUUGGCCAUUUUUCCGCUGGGGGGUUUUGGCACCACGACCUUCGGGCGCUUAUUUUUGGGCGCGGCUUUGCCCACGGCUUAUUUUUGGCACCCCGAGGCCCCUCGCAAAGUCUCGCCCCA